rnacentral:rRNA from 1 species
UACAGAGGUCUCGAGCGUUAGGCGGAAUCACUGGGCUUAAAGAGCGUGUAGGCGGCCCGGUAAGUCCGCUGUAAAAGUCAAAGGCUCAACCUUUGAAUGUCAGUGGAUACUGCCGGGCUAGAGUCCGGAAGAGGCGAGUGGAACUCCUGGUGUAGCGGUGGAAUGCGCAGAUAUCAGGAAGAACACCAACGGCGAAGGCAGCUCGCUGGGACGGUACUGACGCUGAGACGCGAAAGCGUGGGGAGCGAACAGG